rnacentral:rRNA from 1 species
CCUACGGGAGACUGCAGUGAGGAAUAUUGGUCAAUGGGCGCGAGCCUGAACCAGCCAAGUAGCGUGAAGGAUGACUGCCCUACGGGUUGUAAACUUCUUUUAUAAAGGAAUAAAGUGAGGCACGUGUGCCUUUUUGUAUGUACGUUAUGAAUAAGGAUCGGCUAACUCCGUGCCAGCAGCCGCGGUAAUACGGAGGAUCCGAGCGUUAUCCGGAUUUAUGGGGUUUAAAGGGAGCGUAGAGGGGUUUUUAAGUCCGUUGUGAACGUUUGCGGCCCAACCUUAACAUUUCAAUUGAUACUGGCAGCCUUUAGUCCAGUGGAGGUAGGCGCAUGUCGUGGUGUAGCGGUGAAAUGCUUCGAUAUCACGAAGAACUCCGAUUGCGCAGGCAGCUUACUUAACUGCCACUGACAUUGCUGCUC